GCGCCGUUAGCUCAGCUGGCAGAGCAGAGGACUUUUAAUCCUAAGGUCCGGGGUUCGAACCCCCGACGGCGCACCA
rnacentral:tRNA from 1 species